GACGAACGCUGGCGGCGUGCUUAACACAUGCAAGUCGAGCGGUAAGGCCCUUUCGGGGGUACGACGAGCGGCGAACGGGUGAGUAACACGUGGGUGACCUGCCUUUAGCUCUGGGAUAAGCCUGGGAAACUAGGGUCUAAUACCGGAUAUGACCCUAUGGCGCAUGUUGUGGGGUGGAAAGCCUUGUGCGGCUAGGGAUGGGCCCGCGGCCUAUCAGCUUGUUGGUGGGGUGAUGGCCUACCAAGGCGACGACGGGUAGCCGGCCUGAGAGGGCGACCGGCCACACUGGGACUGAGACACGGCCCAGACUCCUACGGGAGGCAGCAGUAAGGAAUAUUGCGCAAUGGGCGAAAGCCUGACGCAGCGACGCCGCGUGGGGGAUGAAGGUCUUCGGAUUGUAAACCCCUUUCGGGAGGGAAGAUGGAAUGGGGUAACCCGAUUCGACGUACCUCCAGAAGCAGCCACGGCUAACUUCGUGCCAGCAGCCGCAGUAAU
rnacentral:rRNA from 1 species